CAGGUGGGCAGUUCCUCCACGUUCUGCCUGGAGUCAGCGUGUGGCCCAGCAGCCCAACUCCUGGAUGUCAGCUCGGGGGAACCAAGCGCAUGCUGUGUCCACGAAGAAACUUGGCGUGUGUGGUUGCGGUGGCCCCAAAGUGGACACAACCCAAAUGUGUGCAUCAGCUGGUGUGCGGUGACCGCCGGUGGAGCAGCGUUUCCUCGGGGUUGACCAUGAUCCUCUAAAGCCAGCGGGGACGUAUGGACCUACCGAAGAUCCGAGUUUCUGACCUACGUCAUUUUCUUGGGAGAUACGAGAUAAGAUCUGCAAUCCCUCAGGACCUGCCGCCCAUUCUGUGCUGCUCUGAAGCCGCAGGAGGU